rnacentral:lncRNA from 10 species
AAUAUAUUUUUGACUUAUGUAUUUUCAACAUAAGCUGGGUUUAUUGGGAUGUAACCCCAUCGUAAGUUGAGGAACAUCUAUUCUAUGAGUGGUGUACACAAUAUUACUUUCACACAGAGUGAAGACUAAAAUAUUUAUGAUGCCUAUGUCUUUUUGGGGGAGAAUUGUUAAAUUUUGUUUGUUUGUUUUGUCCUCAACAGUCAACGACAACACAAACAGCAGAGUGGUCCUUUGGUCCUUCUUUGAAGCUCUUGUUCUAGUUGCCAUGACAUUGGGACAGAUCUACUACCUGAAGAGAUUUUUUGAAGUCCGGAGAGUUGUUUAAAAAGCCUCUUCCUGAUGAUCCCAACUCAGAAUUCACUGUUUACCAAACACCUUGGUCAUAAUAAUGUCAUUAGUUUCUCCAUUUUUAUUUUCUGAACUGUACAUUCACAACUUAUGUUUCUUUGAGAUUAAUAGAUAUUGGGGGAAAAACGCCUUUUUAGGAAAAUUAUAGUGAAAAUUUGACAGUUGAUUGGCAUAAUUUCUUGUUUGAAUGCUGCCUCCAUUAUAUAGGUCCUUCCAGGAACUCAAACACUGUAAGUGAAAUAUGGGAGUAUAGUU